rnacentral:lncRNA from 1 species
CGGGGGUGCAGGCAGGGCUGGCGUCACGUUGGGACAUGGAAACUUGGAGUCCUGAACCCCACUGCCAGCCUGUGACACCCCGAGAGCCGCGGUGGUGGUGGUGAGCAAAGGGUGCAGAACGGGCACAGGGGGAUGGGGUGAGCUCCACACGGUGCUGGGGGCACAGAGCAGCACAUCCUGGCGGUGCAGCCUAAUGCCGUUCCCAUCCCAUCUCCCAUCCCAUCCUAUCUCCUAUCGCAUCCCAUCGCAUCCCAUCGCAUCCCAUCCCAUCGCAUCCCAUCCCAUCCCAUCCCAUCCCAUCCCAUCCCAUCCCAUCCCAUCCCAUCCCAUCCCAUCCCANNNNNNNNNNNNNNNNNNNNNNNNNNNNNNNNNNNNNNNNNNNNNNNNNNNNNNNNNNNAAAAAAAAGCCCGUAUCCCAUCCCCGUAUCCCAUCCCCGUAUCCCAUCCCCGUAUCCCAUCCCCGUAUCCCAUCCCCGUAUCCCAUCCCCGUAUCCCAUCCCCGUAUCCCAUCCCCGUAUCCCAUCCCCGUAUCCCAUCCCCGUAUCCCAUCCCCGUAUCCCAUCCCCGUAUCCCAUCCCCGUAUCCCAUCCCCGUAUCCCAUCCCCGUAUCCCAUCCCCGUAUCCCAUCCCCGUAUCCCAUCCCCGUAUCCCAUCCCCGUAUCCCAUCCCCGUAUCCCAUCCCCGUAUCCCAUCCCCGUAUCCCAUCCCCGUAUCCCAUCCCCGUAUCCCAUCCCCGUAUCCCAUCCCCGUAUCCCAUCCCCGUAUCCCAUCCCCGUAUCCCAUCCCUUUCCCAUCCCAUCCCGUUCCCGUGCGGGUCCGUUCCAGCCACGCGAUGGCGCUGCGAGCCCGCGGUGCGACACCUGCGCCCCGCACCGGCACCGAUCCUGCUCCGAGUGACUCCAUCCUGCACCCAGCACCCAUCCUGCACCCUGUAACCCUCAUCGUGCACCCAGUGACUCCAUCCUGCACUGACUCCAUCCUGCACCCAGUGACCCUCAUCCUGCACUCAGCACCCAUCCUGCACCCAGCACCCAGCACCCAUCCUGCACCCUGUAACCCUCAUCCUGCACCCAGCACCCAUCCUGCACCCUGUAACCCUCAUCCUGCACCCAGUGACUCCCAUCCUGCACCCAGCACCCAUCCUGCACCCUGUAACCCUCAUCCUGCACUCAGCACUCACCCAGCACCGAUCCUGCCCUUAUCCCGCACCCAGUGACACCCAUCCUGCACCCUGCACUCACCCAGCACCCUGCACCCAUCCUGGGCCCAGCAUGCGGCACUAAUCCUGCCCUCACCCUGCACCCAGUGACCCUGCACCCAUCCUGCACCCUGCACUCGUCCUGCACCCUUCACCCAGCACCCUGCAUUCACCCUGCACCCAGGGACUGCCAUCCUGCACCCAGAGACCCUCAUCCUGCACCCAGCACCCUGCACCCAGCACCCUGGAACUCUCGUCCUGCCCCCUACCCCCUGCACCCUUCACCCUUCACCCUACCCCUCAUCUUUAACCCUACCCCCUGCACCCUUCACCCAACCCCCUGCACCCUUCACUCUGCACCCCUGCGUCCCUGCACCCUUCAGGGAAGGUUCUGAGAAUGAUCAAAUUGCCAGAUUUAUUUUCCCAUCAUGCCUCCCUUCAUCAUUUAUUUCCAGGAGAAUGUUUUUGCUCCCUGUUUUCUUCAGGAACCCCCGGCAGGUCUGCCCCAAUGCCACAGUGCACCCUAAAACGAUGGAGGAAACUGAGGCAGGGCACUGGGGGUGACCCUGGCUCUGCUGCCUUUGGCUCUCCUGCGUUUGGGAUUUCAACACCCCAAUGGCAGGUUGUUCCCUGUGGCAUCUGCCCUCUGCCCCAUCCCUCUGGAUUUCUGUCCCCACGUUCAUCCUGAGCUGUGCAAGGCACCCUGAGCCCCC